rnacentral:rRNA from 1 species
UACGGGGGGGGCAAGCGUUGUUCGGAAUUACUGGGCGUAAAGGGCGCGUAGGCGGUUCGCUAAGUUGGAUGUGAAAACUCUGGGCUCAACCCAGAGCCUGCAUCCAAAACUGGCGGGCUAGAGUUCUGGAGGGGGUAGCGGAAUUCCUGGUGUAGCGGUGAAAUGCGUAGAUAUCAGGAGGAACACCGGUGGCGAAGGCGGCUACCUGGACAGAAACUGACGCUGAGGCGCGAAAGCCAGGGGAGCGAACGGG